UUAAAAUAGAUCAUCAUACUGUAAUUCAUCACCUUUCAACUCAUUUCAACCAAAUAAAAUCAAUUCAUAUAAAUCGAGUAAUCAACAUGGCUUAUGCAUUUCUUAAAACUUUGGCUCGUGCCAAGAUCAUUCUCAUACUCAGUUAUCAGGGAUACCUUGGCCUAGGGCUAUCCCAACCGAGUCCGCCAAGGCUGUUAAAAAGUCAUGUACGCAUAAAUCAUGUGUUUUAUUUUGAAAACAUAGUCGUUCCUUAGCGUUGGCUGAGUUCACCCUCACGCGAUGGUUUGGCAUGAAGUGAACUCUAAAGUUGUACCUCGGGAGUUACCCUCCACGCCUCUUCGACCGAGGUAAGAAUAUAACGGGGUUACCGUGCCCCUCCAAUAGGCUGGUCCACGGAACCCGACCAUUGCAGCAAGCUAAACCCACCAAUUCAAUAAAAUCUCAACAGCAUGACAUGGCAAUUAUAUCACAAUC
rnacentral:lncRNA from 1 species